UUACCUUCGGGUAUUGAGGAUGGCGGACGGGUGAGUAACGCGUAAGGAACUUGCCUCUUGGUCUGGGACAACUGUUGGAAACGACAGCUAAUACCAGAUAUUAUGAGAUUCUCGCAUGAGAAACUUAUGAAAGCUAUAUGCGCCAAGAGAGAGCCUUGCGUUCCAUUAGCUAGUUGGUGGGGUAACGGCCCACCAAGGCGACGAUGGAUAGCCGGCCUGAGAGGGUGAACGGCCACAAGGGGACUGAGACACGGCCCUUACUCCUACGGGAGGCAGCAGUGGGGAAUAUUGGACAAUGGGCCACAAGCCUGAUCCAGCAAUUCUGUGUGCACGAUGAAGGUCUUCGGAUUGUAAAGUGCUUUCAGUUGGGAAGAAGAAAGUGACGGUACCAACAGAAGAAGCGACGGCCAAAUACGUGCCAGCAGCCGCGGUAAUACGUAUGUCGCAAGCGUUAUCCGGAUUUAUUGGGCGUAAAGCGCGUCUAGGCGGAAAAAUAAGUCUGAUGUUAAAAUGCGGGGCUCAACUCCGUAUUGCGUUGGAAACUGUUUUUCUAGAGUACUGGAGAGGUGGGCGGAACUACAAGUGUAGAGGUGAAAUUCGUAGAUAUUUGUAGGAAUGCCGAUGGAGAAGUCAGCUCACUGGACAGAUACUGACGCUAAAGCGCGAAAGCGUGGGGAGCAAACA
rnacentral:rRNA from 1 species